rnacentral:rRNA from 1 species
GACGAACGCUGGCGGCGUGCUUAACACAUGCAAGUCGAACGGAAAGGCCCUGCUUUUGUGGGGUGCUCGAGUGGCGAACGGGUGAGUAACACGUGAGUAACCUGCCCUUGACUUUGGGAUAACUUCAGGAAACUGGGGCUAAUACCGGAUAGGAGCUCCUGCUGCAUGGUGGGGGUGGGAAAGUUUCGGCGGUUGGGGAUGGACUCGCGGCUUAUCAGCUUGUUGGUGGGGUAGUGGCUUACCAAGGCUUUGACGGGUAGCCGGCCUGAGAGGGUGACCGGCGACAUGGGGACUGAGAGACGGACCAGACUGGUACGGGAGGCAGCAGUGGGGAAUAUUGCACAGUGGGCGGGAGUCUGAUGCGGCGACGCCGCGUGCGGGAUGACGGCCUUCGGGUUGUAAACCGCUUUCGCCUGUGACGAAGCGUGAGUGACGGUAAUGGGUAAAGAAGCACCGGCUAACUACGUG